CCCGUAACCCAGAGGUGUGACAAGUGACGUUCGUUCUGUCAAAUAUUAAAUUUUAACCUCUUUUUAACGCCGGAUCAUGAUGCCUCUCAAAAUUAAUGGUUAUACUUUUAUGGUCUUCCGUAACACUGUAUAAUGGCUGUGAUACUACGGAGAUUAAUUGCCAUACCCAUUAAAUUUCAUUAUUCACUGAUGGACGUUCGCGUUCACGAUUCCCAUCGUUACCCGUCGCAUCUACGUGUACUCGGCCGAAAUCUUUCUCUUAAAUGUCCAAAUCCUCCCAGCUUCACGACCAGUCUCGCCAUGCCCAAGGACUACGAGAACGUAAUGAAUCUCAUGUGCGAGAGUUACUUCAAAUACGAGCCCAGCAUCGUCAACAUUGGACUGUCCGGUCGUGCACCUGCAUCCCUGAUGCACUUUGUGCAGGAGCACUUGAGAGAGGGAAUGACACUGGUGGCGAGAGGACAGGACAAUUGCAUAGUAGGAGCUGCUAUAAACGUCGGCUCUUGCCCAUGGGAUCCUGAGCGUGCCAUUAGUUUUGCAAAUUGUUGCGAAUGUGGUCCAGCCAAGGAUCUGAUAAAGUUCUACGCUUACGUCACGAUGCAGCCACGUCUCUGGGAGAGAUUUUGCGUAUUGAAGAUAUUCGAGUGCUGUUACGUAACGGUGCAUCCCGAUUACCAAGGUCAGGGACUGGGCAAGAGGCUCAUACAGGAGAGUUGGUACCUGGCGAGAGAUUGCGGCUACAGCCUCUUCCGUAUAGACUGCACCAGCAGAUACACUGCCAAAAUUGCUGAAAACUUUGGCUGGGAGUGCGUCUACAAAUUGCCUUACAGAAGGUACAUCGAGGCCGACGAGCUGGUGUUCAAGUACGUGCAAAGUCCACACACGGAGGUGCAAGUCUUUAUCGACAGAAUUAAAUUCUGCAAGGACUACUGUCAGCCGUACAAGAAAAAGUGCAAGAAAACUUCCGCGCCGUCUCUGAGGAAGAAACGUUAGCUCUUUAAGGGGAUACGUACCACGUAUUACGUGAUAGUCCAAUAACUGGAUUACUCCUGUCAGCUGGCUAAUCUGUUUAAUCAGCAGCACAAUUCGCGCCUUGGCGUACUUUACACGCGAAAGUAGCAACGGGCAAAACAGAAAUUCACCGAGGGAAGAACUUUCGAGCGCUUUACGAGGAGACUGGCUACCAAUUCGUUUAAUUAUUUUCUCUCGCCGUCUUCGAGCUAACAGCGUGAGUGUCAAAGACAAGGGAAGUUGAGGAUCGACCCGGUCUAUCAGAAGAGAAAAGGACCUGGACCAGGGUUCUCGAUGAUGACCUCAGGAGUCUCCAGCAUCGGAGGGUGAGUACAUGCUGACUCCCAUAAAAGCCCACAGCAAGAUAUCAGGUAGUUGCCGAUCACGCGUGUAACAUAAAAAAAAAUCAGCACUGCUGCCAACAUAAAAAAUAGUCAGAUCUAGGAAUCCUUCCAUGGCCUUCUAUACGAUUUCCAGACGCACCAAACGACGUGGGCUAUUUUUUUUCCUCGUUCAUCCCAUUAGCCCAUUUUCCAAGACGUCCCUCAGGGUGCAAAAGGGAAUUAGCAGGUGCCGUUGAGAUAUGUUAAAUUGAAUAGGGAUUCCCCAGAGGAUGGAGUUCACGGAGGAGACAUAACUCAUUCAGGAACUCAGGUCGAACUCAUAGAGCCCAGCCAGUUGAACAGAGCCAGGGACCCUUCGGUGUAUCUCGUCACCGAAUUCAACCAUCCCACUCCUCUUCAGGAAGCCACCACUCCCCCCCUAUCCGGUGCCUUAACCAGCUCCUGGCAGCCCGUACUCAUCCGGUACCAGCCUUACGAAAGGCCUGUUAACCCCUUUGCGC